AGCAGCCGCGGUAAUUCCAGCUCCAAUAGCGUAUAUUAAAGUUGUUGCAGUUAAAAAGCUCGUAGUUGAAUUUCGGGACUAGUACGCUGGUCAUGCCUUUGGUAUGUACUGGUGUUACUGGUACCUACCUUCUGACGAACCGUCAUGUCAUUCAUUUGGUGUGGCGGGGAAUCAGGACUGUUACUUUGAAAAAUUAGAGUGUUUAAAGCAGGCUCGCGCUUGAAUACAUUAGCAUGGAAUAAUGAAAUAGGACGUUUGAUCCUAUUUUGUUGGUUUCUAGGAUUGACGUAAUGAUUAAUAGGGAUAGUUGGGGGCAUUAGUAUUCAAUUGUCAGAGGUGAAAUUCUUGGAUUUAUUGAAGACUAACUACUGCGAAAGCAUUUGCCAAGGAUGUUUUCAUUAAUCAAGAACGAAAGUUAGGGGAUCGAAGACAAUCAGAUACCGUCGUAGUCUUAACCAUAAACUAUGCCGACUAGGGAUCGGAUGAUGUAUUUUAAUGA
rnacentral:rRNA from 1 species